rnacentral:rRNA from 1 species
AGUGAACGCUGGCGGCAGGCCUAACACAUGCAAGUCGAACGGCAGCACAGCAGUAGCAAUACUGUGGGUGGCGAGUGGCGGACGGGUGAGGAAUGCAUCGGAAUCUGCCUAUUUGUGGGGGAUAACGUAGGGAAACUUACGCUAAUACCGCAUACGACCUACGGGUGAAAGUGGGGGACCGCAAGGCCUCACGCAGAUAGAUGAGCCGAUGCCGGAUUAGCUAGUUGGCGGGGUAAAGGCCCACCAAGGCGACGAUCCGUAGCUGGUCUGAGAGGAUGAUCAGCCACACUGGAACUGAGACACGGUCCAGACUCCUACGGGAGGCAGCAGUGGGGAAUAUUGGACAAUGGGCGCAAGCCUGAUCCAGCCAUGCCGCGUGAGUGAAGAAGGCCUUCGGGUUGUAAAGCUCUUUUGUCCGGAAAGAAAAGCAUUCGGUUAAUAACCGGGUGUCAUGACGGUACCGGAAGAAUAAGCACCGGCUAACUUCGUGCCAGCAGCCGCCGUAAAAC